UAGGGAAUCUUCGGCAAUGGACGAAAGUCUGACCGAGCAACGCCGCGUGAGUGAAGAAGGUUUUCGGAUCGUAAAACUCUGUUGUUAGAGAAGAACAAGGACGUUAGUAACUGAACGUCCCCUGACGGUAUCUAACCAGAAAGCCACGGCUAACUACGUGCCAGCAGCCGCGGUAAUACGUAGGUGGCAAGCGUUGUCCGGAUUUAUUGGGCGUAAAGCGAGCGCAGGCGGUUUCUUAAGUCUGAUGUGAAAGCCCCCGGCUCAACCGGGGAGGGUCAUUGGAAACUGGGAGACUUGAGUGGAGAAGAGGAGAGUGGAAUUCCAUGUGUAGCGGUGAAAUGCGUAGAUAUAUGGAGGAACACCAGUGGCGAAGGCGGCUCUCUGGUCUGUAACUGACGCUGAGGCUCGAAAGAGUGGGGAGCAAACAGG
rnacentral:rRNA from 1 species